rnacentral:tRNA from 1 species
GCGGAUGUAGCUUAAUGGUAAAGCUUCUGCUUCCCAAGCAGACGACGCGGGUUCGAUUCCCGUCAUCCGCUCCA